ensembl:lncRNA
CAAUUAUAUGUGGAGGGUUGUUGACGCUACCGCGUCUGAUGCAGUUUUCAGAAGAGUCUCCAUUCACAUGAGGGCCAGCAGACAACAAACCGAUUUUCAGAGGGAUGACUUCUUCUUUACUUCCAGUGUUAGCUGAAAAACAAACAAACAUGAAAGCAUUGUUACUUGAUAGGAAAUCUACAUGCGAUCAUAUUCGAAACAGAAAAGGUCCAUAUUGGAAAUUUUUGAGGAAUCCCCAGACCCUUCAGAGAUGGAUGGAUGAAAGGGACUCACCAAAGCCCCAAACCACCUACAAAACCAAACAAAUCUACCAAAUUCUCCAUGAAAACUGGAGGGUCAUUUAGCUACCAGAAAAAAAUUAGAACAAUUGUAUAGAAGCAUAAUGUGGAAGCACUGCAUUUUUUUCCUGUG